GGGAGCUACCUUGUAAGUGAUAUA
rnacentral:siRNA from 1 species